rnacentral:lncRNA from 1 species
UCUCUUUCCAGUGAUGGCCGACUAGGCCAUCUUUUGAUGCAUAUUCCAGCAACGUUUUAACUGUACUAAAGUAUCCGCACUGAUGCUGCUUCCCAGUGAGAGCUUCUGUUCCCCACAUGUGACUUCUCUGCCUUGCUGUCCAUGGUCCAGAGUGGUAGUCCAUCUUCUGACCUCAGUUCCAUAAUAGAUUCAGCAAAGUAUUGAUUUUCAGCCUGUUUUCUUGUUAUGGGGGUGAAAGUAAUGAAUCCUAGGUUCACUACAUUUUAAAAAUUCAAUUAAAGUUAUUAUUUUUAUUGUAUUUGGUAGUAUGAUAAAGACUUUGUAUAUUAAUGUCUUUUGAUUUGGCAAUACUAACUAGAAAUUUUAUUUUCUAAUAUUGUGCUUAUAUAUUUUGGGGUAACAUUCUAAUUUGCAUGGAAGCUUUUUCAUAGGAAAUUGAUCCAUAAUACUGAUUUUUUUGAAAUUUUUAUCUUUAUUUUGUUUCUUAUUACUAUUAAAAUGAGUCAGUAUAUUUACUAUUAGCUUGCAAAUACAGUUUGAGACAAUAGCAAUCUUUGUUUCCUCUGUUGUGAGAUUAUGAUUUCUUUUUUGUAUUCAUAAACUGAGUGUCAGUUUGUGCCAAGUUUCACUAAUUGUACUUUGGAUACUAUACAGAUGAUGUUCAGAGUAUUGAUAGUUUGGAUUUGUGAAACCAGUUAAUUAUAUGAACCAUUUACAUUAGGUUUUUACUUUAACAUUUUUUAUUUAUUUUAUGUGAAUUAGUGUUUUGUCGGCAUGUGUAUAUCGGCACUUUGUGUGUGCUUGGUGCUGGCGGAGGUCAGAAGAGAAUGACAGAUGCACUGGAGCUGAGUUGUGAGCAGGGGACUGAACUCUGGGUCCUCUACAAAAACAGUGGGUGCUCCUAACUGCUUGACCAUCUCUUCAGCCUAACGUUGGAUUUCUUAAUUAGUAGAUUGAAUAGAGCAUAAUAGGCUAAGUCCUUUGAUUUAGACAGAAAAAAACUCAUGCAAAUAUGUUGGAGACAAAUUAGUGUAAAUUAAAAAAAUAUAAAAUAUGGUUUAAAGAUUUUGUUUUGAAAAAACUUCACAUUAAAAAAAAUUCACUAUAUUUUAGAUUUUGAUGUUCACUGAAGUGCUGAAUUUGAUGACUCAGACCCCACUGGGUUACCUGUAAAAGCUGUUAAAAGAUUAUUUUAAGUCUUCUGAGGCUCCGUGCAUGCCUCCUUCCUGAUGUCUAAGUGAGAGAUUUUAUACAUAACUACAUUUAACCUCCUGUUUUUCCAAGAUAUUUGCUAAAAAUAAAAGGAACACGUCUUUCUGCAAAAUUGAUUAGGCUUUGAUGAGCCCAAGAUAAGAAGAAAGGGAUUGCAAAUCAUUGGAUUCAUUUUAUUGUAAAAGUAGCAAAAUUCCUCAGUUGAUUUUUUUUUUUUCUUUUUCUGUGGCUUUGUUAAGAGAAGUAUCACUUAUCCGCUAUGGGAAACCAAAGUCUUGUCUACUAGAUGCUUAUAUAUUUAUUUACUUACAUCCUCAUUCCCUGAGUCUUGUGGUACCAUAUUUUCUUCAAAACAAACAAACAAACAAACACCAAAUCAAUCCAAAAAACCCAAACUUGAUUAAUAACUACUGUGAGUUUGAAAUAUGAAGUGAUAAAUGACUCUGGAGGAAGCUGAUAAAUUUACUAGGUGAGUUAGGUCUAUGCUAAUGAUUGCAGAACAAGAUAAUGUUUGCCAAAUUGUGAAAUUGUGCUUGAAAAUAAAAAGAGUCUGCGUGUUUGUAUGGAGAGUUAUUCUGCAGGCUAGUAGGUUCUGAGGAUUCAAUGCAUAUCCUCAUACCUGCAUGGUAAACAAUUUACCCACUGAAACAUUUCUCCAACCCUCGAAUGGCACUUCAAGGAGAUCAAGUUUAUUAUGACAAAGAAACUUUUUUGGAUCAUUUUAUAUAACAAAUAUCUAGUUCUUUUAUUUCAAUUCUCUAUGUAACUGCAUUGUACUCCCAUUUAACAGGGGUGGUGCAUUUUCUUAUGUGCUUAUAUUUAUAUUUGUUACUCUUUUCAUAUUAGAAUUCAAAUUCUCUGAUAUACUCUGAUCUACAAUACCAGGCACAUAGUAGGCAGUCAGGAAUAUUUGAUGAAUGGAGUGUUUUGUUUUGUUUUGUUUUUGGCGCAAAAGAGGUUCAGGUUUAAGUGGCAUAUAAAUAGAUUAAGGUAAUUUAAUUUUGUAAAGAUCAUGGGAGAAAGCAGCACUGUAAUAAGAACUCAUUAAUUUCCAGGCUUGACAGUUUUCAUUGUCAUAUUCUGCUAAAUAUGCAUCACCAUUAAGUUGGGGAUUUAAGACAAAAUUUGAUUAGGAGAGUUAACUUUUUAAUAAAAAGUCUAAAAAAAUUUUGAAGUAUUACAAAUUUUAUUUCAUUUUAUUUUAGAAGUUCCAUGAGAUACUCUGAAAGCUCUAGAACUUAGGAAAUGUCUGAAGUAAAAUGUAUCAAAGUAAAACUUUUUCAGAAUCU